UACGGAGGGUGCAAGCGUUAUCCGGAUUCACUGGGUUUAAAGGGUGCGUAGGUGGGUUGGUAAGUCAGUGGUGAAAUCUCCGAGCUUAACUUGGAAACUGCCAUUGAUACUAUUAAUCUUGAAUAUUGUGGAGGUCAGCGGAAUAUGUCAUGUAGCGGUGAAAUGCCUAGAGAUGACAUAGAACACCAAUUGCGAAGGCAGCUGGCUACACAUAUAUUGACACUGAGGCACGAAAGCGUGGGGAUCAAACAGG
rnacentral:rRNA from 1 species